ACUCUUUUUCUUUCGUAAUUCCCCUGGUAACCUUCUCCUUCCCUGAAGCAUUCUCAGUAGCCCUUCGCGUUCUUCUUCUUCCUUAUGCAAGCUAUACUCGUGCUUCUCAUUCACCCUCUUUUUCUACCUGCUGCUCUUUUAAGGGUCUUGAAGGAGACAAGUUUCAGCUAGAGAUUUUGUAUGCAGUCACCGAUUUUGGAGUCUCCGACUUGUAGGGUAUCGUUAUCAGAAUGGCCUGCCAAGUUUCGAUGAUGAAUUUUUGAAGCAUGGUUAAAAGAGAAAUUCAGUGCAUUGAUUAUUUUGCAGAGAUUUUAUUUAAAGCUCAAAAGUGCAAGAAUGAUGGCACUUUUUGCGAACCUAGGAUUAAUGUUUCAGUCUGCCUCAAGAUGCUUUCGUGUGAUUGCCUCUUACAGGAGCUUGUCAUUUUCAAGUAAUGGACCUUGCAAUCAGGAUGGUGGAUCAGCUUCUUUUGGAAAUGGGGUUAACCAAGAAUAUUUGGGAAAAUCAGAGGGUAUAUGGCAAGAAGCGGACAGGGUGUGCCAGAUCCUGGAGAGUGGAUCUUGGGGGCCUUCAGUUGAAAAUGCUUUAUCUACGUAUGAUGAAAAACGUCAUUCAGAACUAGUUAUUGGAGUCUUAAGGAGGCUGAAAGAUGUUGAACAAGCACUAAACUAUUUUCGGUGGGUUGAGAAGAAAACUGACGAAGCGCAUUGUCCGGAGGCAUACAAUAGGCUUCUCAUGGUAAUCGUGAAGAGUAAGAGGUUUGAUCAUGUGGAACAAAUUUUGGAAGAGAUGGGUCUUGCUGGGUAUGGCCCAUCCAACAGUACCUGUAUUCAGCUAAUAGAUAGCUAUGUCAAGACUCGAAAAUUAAGGGGAGCAUUUGAUUGUAUUCAGACAAUGAGGAAGUUAAAGUUUCGCCCUGCAUUUUCAGCUUACACUACCCUGAUUGGUGCCCUAUGUACUGUUAAUGAACCUGAUCUUAUGCGGGCACUCUUUCUUCAGAUGCAAGAAUUAGGUUAUGAAGUGAGCGUUCAUUUAUUUACGACUCUUAUACGAGUAUUUGCCAGGGAAGGUCGAGUUGAUGCUGCUCUCUCGCUUUUGGAGGAGAUGAAAAGCAACUCAUUGGAUGCAGACAUUGUUCUCUAUAAUGUGUGUAUAAACUGCUUUGGCAAGGUGGGUAAGGUGGAUAUGGCUUGGAAGUUUUUUCAUGAGAUGCAAGCUAAUGGAUUCGUACCUGAUGAAGUUACAUAUACGAGUAUGAUUGGUGUUCUCUGCAAGGGUAACAGACUGGAUGAAGCUGUGCACCUGUUUGAACAGAUGGAGCAGAAUAGGGCAGUACCAUGCGCAUAUGCUUAUAGCACUAUGAUCAUGGGAUAUGGAUCUGCUGGAAAGUUUGAUGAAGCAUAUAGGUUACUUGAAAGGCAAAGGUUAAAGGGAUCCAUACCAAGUGUAAUUUCAUACAAUUCUCUUCUAACCUGCCUUGGGAAGAAGGGAAAAGUUGAUGACGCAUUAAGGAUCUUUGAGGAGAUGAAAAAAGAUGCAGCACCUAAUCGCACAACUUAUAAUAUCAUCAUUGACAUGCUUUGCAGGGAAGGACAGUACAGAGCUGCUUUAGAUGUUCGAGAUGCCAUGAAAUCUUCAGGCUUGUUUCCCAAUGUAUUGACUGUGAAUAUAAUGAUUGACCGUUUGUGUAAAGCUCAGAAACUUGAUGAAGCUUGUUUUAUUUUUGAAGAAAUGGACCACAAACUUUGUAUGCCAGAUACAAGGACAUUUUGCUCUCUUAUAGAUGGCUUGGGUAGGCAUGGCAGGGUAGAUGAUGCAUACAGGUUAUAUGAGCAGAUGUUAGAUUCUGAUCAGGCUCCUGAUGCUGUUGUUUAUACAUCCUUGAUUAAGAACUUUUUCAGGUCUGGAAGGAAGGAAGAUGGGCACAAGAUUUACAAAGAAAUGGUUUCUGGAGGUGUUGGCCCUGAUCUUUUGCUCCUUAACACCUAUAUGGAUUGUGUUUUCAAAGCUGGUGAGACAGAGAAAGGCAGAGCUUUGUUUCAGGAAAUUAAGAAUCUGGGUUUUACUCCAGAUGUGCGGAGUUAUUCUAUUCUGAUUCAUGGUCUUAUAAAAGCAGGCUUUGCACGCGAAACAUACGAGUUAUUUUAUACAAUGAAGGAAAGAGGGUGUAUUCUUGACACCCUUGCUUAUAACACGGUAAUUGAUGGAUUCUGUAAAUCAGGAAAGGUCAAUAAAGCUUAUCAACUGCUGGAGGAAAUGAAGGUGAAGGGUCAUGAACCUACUGUUGUCACUUAUGGUAGUGUUAUUGAUGGGCUUGCAAAGAUUGACAGGCUUGAUGAAGCUUACAUGCUUUUUGAAGAAGCAAAAUCCAAAGGUGUGGAGUUAAAUGUGGUGGUUUACAGUAGCCUUGUAGAUGGGUUCGGGAAGGUGGGUAGAAUUGAUGAAGCAUAUCUGAUUAUGGAAGAAUUGAUGCAAAAAGGCUUGACGCCGAACACUUAUACUUGGAACUGCUUGAUUGAUGCUCUCGUGAAGGCUGAAGAAGUAGAUGAAGCUCUUGUCUGCUUUAAUUCAAUGAAAAACUUGAAUUGCAGUCCAGACUCAAUAACUUACAGCAUUCUCAUAAAUGGGCUUUGUAGGGUGCAAAAAUUCAAUAAAGCCUUUGUUUUUUGGCAGGAAAUGCAGAAGCAAGGUCUAAAACCCAAACUGAUUACUUAUACCACUAUGAUAUCUGGGCUUGCAAAGGCCGGAAAUAUACUAGAAGCUGAUAAACUCUUUGAAAGGUUCAAGGCAAAUGGAGGUGUACCUGAUUCAGCCUGUUAUAAUACUAUGAUAGAAGGGUUAAGCAUUUCAAAUAGGGCAUUGGAAGCUUACCAACUAUUUGAAGAGACUAGGUUAAGAGGUUGCAACAUAUACACAAAAACAUGUAUUGUUCUUAUGGACUCUCUGCAUAAGGCUGAGUGUCUUGAGCAGGCAGCAAUCGUGGGUGCUAUUCUGCGGGAAACAGCAAAGGCACAGCAUGCAUCUAGAUCAUUGUAACAAUGGAUUGGUUGCUGUUAUUAGCGACUGAUCACAAUCUGAUGUGCAGUUUUUACGUGUUUAUUUCUUUGAAUAGUCAAUUUUCAUUACUGUAAACAAGGCUACAAAAGUGUGGAGUUAGUGGAGCAAAUGCCACAAAAAGAUCAAACUGCCAUAUUCACAGCUGGAAGGAGCAAAAGAGAAGGAACAGAAGUGAAUCAAAGAACUGAGCAUAUUGAUGUCCUCGAGCAUGGAAGUCAGGUACUUGACAACACCUUGGCUUUCAAGUCCACAUUUCCAUGUGACUUUUGUGAACUUCCUCAGGAGGUCCCUUGUUUAAUUACAAAAGCUGAAGAUUUUAAUAUAGGACCAUGAUAGAAAAUUAUUUACAGUUUUCCAUGGACACAAUGUUGACUAAUAGGUGGUUGAGGGAGUAGUCAUGUUCUUUGCUCCUGAGUAAUCACAGCAUUCUGGGUGUAUCCUCUUGUUGUCAAUGGCCAAAGUACUCUUAAGAAAACAUAGGUAAGCUUUCAUUCUUUUCCUUCAAGUAAAUCGUGUUGCUUGUUCUUGAUUGCACUGUCAUAUUGAAUUUUGCAUUUCAAUGGAUAAAUUUGAAUGUGAGAAACAUUUGUUUAGUGUGUCCUGAGAGGAGAGCAAGGAAAAGAAUAGAUGCCAACAUUUGUACCUUUUUUUUUGUAAUGUAUACUUUGAAGAGAUCUAAUUAAUUGCGUUUUUGUGUGUGACAGAUUUUCAAAGACAUUGACAGGUAAUGAGAAACUUUGUGCGGUAUCUACUGAAAACUUUAUGCCAAGAAUCACUUAAAAGACUCGAUGAGUAAUUAUAAUUUGAAAGAAGAAUACUACAGUCUAGACAGUGGGGAAUUGACAUCUGCUCUUCAAUAAAGUUUGCUCAAGUUUGACAGGAAAAGGGAUGGUUGUUUCAGUAUUACAAAAAAUUAACAAGUAAUAUUGUGAAGGUUUUGCUUAUAAAAUUAUGAAGUCAUGGUAGUGAAUGAUUGGAUGCUUGUGAAAGCCAAUUAGAUGUAGAGUUUUCUAAGUUGCAAUAAGAUUGUUUAUGCUUUAUCAGAUACUUUGGUAAGUUUGAAGGUAAGGUCAGAAGCAGAUGACUCUGUCAAAUGGAGAUGAGAGACUACUGAAUUUAUGACUGUUCAAAAGCUGUGUGGUCUUGUCAAAGCAUUUAUAUAUCAACAGCUUAGGAGGAAAGUCUUUAAAAAUGUAGUAUAAAGUGGGAAUGGGGUUGCAAAAGGAUAGUCGUCUCUCAUGUGCCACUCAUGCAUCUUAUUUUUUUUGGCAUUCUUACCAAAUAACGUGUUUCCAGAUUUUUAGGUAUUUGGUGAGAAUUUACUGGGUUCUGGCCUCAAGACAUCAAAAUCUGUCUCUCUCUCCUCCCAAAAAUCAGUCGCAUCAUUUUCUUCUCUUCUUCUUUAGUUCUUCUUCUUCCUAAUUUCUUUUACCCCCUUGAAUCUGAUCUUCUUCUAACCAAUCUACCUAAUCAACAAACGAAGAAGUUUUUUCCUAGAGAUACUUGUACCCACUCCGACUCUCUCUUGAAGAACAGAGGAAAAGCUGCUUAAGCUGAAUUAGGAAGAUGACUAAUCCAUCUCCAUCAUCCGAUCUGAAUAAUUUGUAAAUACAAUCAUGAGAACUGGCAAGGAAGGUAUGAUACUUGAAGCUGAUAAGAUGACUUUGAGUUUGAUUGUAAUAUAAAGUGGAAUAUGGUUGUCCUCUUGGGUGUCGCUCAUGUGACUUCAUAGGUACUUGUGUUCCAAUUUGACAUUACAUUUUCUUUUGCUAGGCAGUGGUUGUUCUUAUGUAUACUUGAAGCUGAUAAAAUGACUUUUGAGUUUGAUUGUAGUAUAAGUGGAAUGAGCUGCUAGAGAAUGGUUGGGUUCUUGGGUGUCGCUCAUGUGACUUCAUAGGCACUUAUGUUCCAAUUUGACAUUACAUUUUCUUUUGCUAGAUAGUGGUUGUACUUAUGCAUAUCUUUAUCUUUAAAGUAUGUUUGAUAAAACUGAAAACUGAAAUCUAAAGUUUGAAUCUAUUACGUUAUUGAAAUUUUAGGUACUAAAUCUGAUAUAUUUGAGUGUGUAUCACAAUAAGUGAUAAAUGAAUAGCCUAUCACUUAUUUUUGGGAGCAAGUUUUGCCUAGAAAAUUCAGUAUCACUUAAAUAAUUCAAAUGUUUUAAUUUUGAUUAUCAAACGCAUCUGAACAUAUUAAGAUUUGAAUUCCAUUAAGUGUGAGUGCUGAAUUGAGUUAUCAAACAAGGCCUUAGAGUCUUUUAUCAUUUAAAUAAGUAUUUCCCAUUGAAAAAGAAAAUAGCAAGUAUGGUUUGGGUUCUUAUUGGUUUGCAUGUUUGAGUUUAUGACCAGGAUGUACAAAUGAGAUUGAGAGGUAGAUGGUACUUGCAGUGUAAUCUACUGCACAAAUUAGACUUGAAGUUGUAGCUGGAUAGAGAUCAAUUGAGAAAUUUUACAAUUCAAAUUAUACAGCAAGAGAAAUUAAUGCUAAUUAUGAAUGUCAGUUGUGUUAAAAGCUGGUGCUGGAGUUUAAAAAAUUAAUCAAUUUGUUAAGUUCCAAGGAUUGAAGAUAAGUAGCAGCAGACAUGAUCAUAAUAAGGGAAUUUGUGAUAUAUAAGCUUUGGAAAGAACACAGAACAGAAGGAUGAACCCCACCUAUUAUGUUUUGGAUAAAUUUUUAAUCCAUUAUUCUAAAUAUUAACUCUGAAAUUGAUCUCUUUAGACAAAUUUAAUGCCUGUUAAUUUUAUUUAGCUAUUCUAUUUUCUAGUUUGCUAUCUUUUUAGUUGCAUCUCUGUUCCUUAAUUAACUUUAGAUAAAAUCGAAUCCAUUAGGAAUGCUCGGGUCCAUGGUGGUCAGAUUAAGGAUCCUUUGCAACAGGUGCUUUUUGGAAUUAAUUUACCUGAAGAAUUAAGCUAGUGGGGCUGGUGAAGCAUCACUGCAGCAAAUCUUAGCAAAUUGUUGCAGAUUUGAUGGCAUGCUCCAGGUUUAGCCAUGCUGAAACUGAACUUUAAUGGAGCUGUAUUUUAUGAAGGAUAGGAACAAUAUACAGUUAGUUCUGACAAGGGAAUUACAACAAAGCCUCCUUGCCCAGACAACUAAUUCCAAGCAAGCUAAAGCUUCCGCAUGGACUGGAGAAUCCACUAAAAUCUUCUUGGAUAACUUAUGAAUUACCUGUUCGCAGGGAUUGAAGAUUA